AACGCAUAUUGCGCCCUCUGGUAUUCCGGGGGGCAUGCCUGUCCGAGCGUCAUUAUAAACUCAAGCACGGCUUGUCUGUUGAGCAAUUGUUCCGUUAAGGAACAGGUUUGAAAUGCAGUGGCGAACGAUACCGACUUUGGUGCCCGAGUGUUCUGAAGCUUUGUCACACGCUCUUGUGGCCCGGUCGGCGUUCUUGCCGACCCUAAUUUAUUUUAUCGUUAGUUAGGUUGACCUCGGAUCAGGUAAGAGUACCCGCUGAACUUAA
rnacentral:misc_RNA from 1 species